CCUACGGGAGACAGCAGUCGAGAAUCAUUCACAAUGGGGGAAACCCUGAUGGUGCGACGCCGCGUGGGGGAAUGAAGGUCUUCGGAUUGUAAACCCCUGUCAUGUGGGAGCAAAUUAAAAAGUUAGUACCACAAGAGGAAGAGACGGCUAACUCUGUGCCGGCAGCCGCGGUAAUACAGAGGUCUCAAGCGUUGUUCGGAAUCACUGGGCGUAAGGGGUGCGUAGGCUGUUUCGUAAGUCGUGUGUGAAAGGCGCGGGCUCAACCCGCGGACGGCACAUGAUACUGCGAGACUAGAGUAAUGGAGGGGGAACCGGAAUUCUCGGUGUAGCAGUGAAAUGCGUAGAUAUCGAGAGGAACACUCGUGGCGAAGGCGGGUUCCUGGACAUUAACUGACGCUGAGGCACGAAGGCCAGGGGAGCGAAAGGGAUUAGAUACCCGAGUAGUC
rnacentral:rRNA from 1 species